rnacentral:tRNA from 1 species
AAAAAAUUAGUUAAUUAAUAACAUUAGUUUGUCAAACUAAAAUAAAUUUAUUUUAAAUUAUUUUUUA